CACACAUAUACACACGUAGUACAAGAAAAAGUUAAAUAAGGUUGUUGAAUUGUUUCAUAUUUUUCCCCCAAAAAAAAAAAAGACAUUCUUGAAAAUACAAGCAGGAGAGGAAAGAAAAGAGGAAAAACAUCAUUUUCUGGGAGCCCCAAGACUUUUGCGUCAGGUUUACUGAGAAAUAGUGGAAGUGGGGAAAAGAACAUGAUGGUUGUUGGUCUUUCGUUCCAUACCACACAACACGCAAGGAAUUAUGAUCACGUUAUAUGUUUGCUAGCUAGUACACUAUUAUCUGUGGAAUUGAUGUUACCUGACGAGGUGGUGGGUAGACGAGUACAAACGAGGGAAGAAGGGCUCUCUCGUUGUCGUUUCGCGUUGUCGGCGGCGGCGGCGCCGAGGCUGAGAUUUUGUUGCUGGAGGGAGGCGAGGUGUUGCUGACGCUCGCGGCGUUUGGCGGCGGGAACCCACGUGCUCUUCACGUGCGUCUGGCACUGAAAGCCUCUGCUCUUACAGCAAGUUCUGCACCUCAUGUGUGUGCAAUCUUUCUUGGCUUGGUUUCCACAGUCCUGGCAGUUAACCCCGCCGCUAGCCCCGCCGCUGCUCGGCCGCAUAACUCUAAAUCCUGAAGAAGAUGAUCUGAAGGAAUAUCCGGCGCCGGCGGAUUGGUUUUGAUCAUCACCGACGAGAUUUCCGCUGCUACUACUGCUCCCGCCGCCGCCUGCGGCGGCGGGGUUGUUAGGCGGGGCGGCGGCGCCGACGCCUACGGAGAAAUCGACUAGAUGAGGGUGGUGGUGGUGCACGUGAUGCGCACGUUGUUGAUGCAUAUGGUAGUAUUGUUGCCAUAGCUCGAAACCCUUGUUGUAGAUCUCCUCAUUCUUGAACAAAUACAAGCUACUAUUGUUGUUGUUUGUA